rnacentral:lncRNA from 1 species
UCACUAAAAAAUCCUAAAAAGAAAAUAAAAUCAAUCUUUUCAUCUGCAUAAUGAUUUGCUUUGUUUGAAUUCUGAAAUCUCUUUUAUAUCCAAAAUCAUUAUGCAGGUUGAUCAAACCCAUUGAACAUAAUGAUCCAACACCAUCUCCCAACUUUUCAUCUGCAUAAUGAUUUGCUUUGUUUGAAUUCUGAAAUCUCUUUUAUAUCCAAAAUCAUUAUGCAGGUUGAUCAAAC